GUUUCCUCUGUGUGCUCUGCAGCCCUGUCACUGAAAGUGUGCUCUGGGGACCAGCAGAAUCAGCGUCACGUGGAAUCCUAUUAUAAAUGCAGAAUCCCAGUCUCCACCCAGACCUACUGAAUCUUCCUUUUAUCAAGAUCUCCAGGUCAACAGUCUGGCACAAUGGGAUUUUCUGUUCAGAAUUUCACCAGGCUACAAUGAAGAUAUGGGCUUGCUGUGGCUGUAAUCUCAUCUGAGGUUUAACCCUGCGGCAAAAUUUUUCUCUUAGCAUCUGAUGACCAGAUAACUCAAUGGGAACAACCGGUACCAGGUGUGGACUGAGAAGUCACACAGUAAGGUGGGGGUAU